rnacentral:miRNA from 1 species
ACAUACAUACACACACACACACACACACACACACACUGUGUAUACAAAUAUAUACUGUGUGUGUGUGUGUGUGUGUGUGUGUGUAUAUAU